rnacentral:rRNA from 1 species
GCAUAUCAUAGCGGAGGAAAAGAAACCAACAGGGAUUGCCCUUAGUAACGGCGAAGUGAAGCGGCAACAGCUCAAAUUUGAAAUCUGGCUUCGGCCCGAGUUGUAAUUUGUAGAGGAUGCUUUUGGCGAGGUGCCUUCUGAGUUCCCUGGAACGGGACGCCAGAGAGGGUGAGAGCCCCGUAUAGUCGGACACCAAGCCUUUGUAAAGCUCCUUCGACGAGUCGAGUAGUUUGGGAAUGCUGCUCAAAAUGGGAGGUAUAUCUCUUCUAAAGCUAAAUAUAGGCCAGAGACCGAUAGCGCACAAGUAGAGUGAUCGAAAGAUGAAAAGCACUUUGAAAAGAGGGUUAAAUAGCACGUGAAAUUGUUGAAAGGGAAGCGCUUGUGACCAGACUUGUGCCGGGCUGAUCAUCCAGUGUUCUCACUGGUGCACUCGACCCGGCUCAGGCCAGCGUCGGUUCUCGUGGGGGGAUAAAAACUUCGGGAACGUGGCUCCUCCGGGAGUGUUAUAGCCCGUUGUUUAAUACCCUCGUGGGGACCGAGGUUCGCGCUCUGCAAGGACGCUGGCAUAAUGGUCAUCAGCGACCCGUCUUGAAACACGGACCAAGGAGUCGAGGUUUUGCGCGAGUGUUUGGGUGUAAAACCCGCACGCGUAAUGAAAGUGAACGUAGGUGAGAGCUUCGGCGCAUCAUCGACCGAUCCUGAUGUAUUCGGAUGGAUUUGAGUAAGAGCGUAUAGCCUCGGACCCGAAAGAUGGUGAACUAUGCCUGAAUAGGGUGAAGCCAGAGGAAACUCUGGUGGAGGCUCGCAGCGGUUCUGACGUGCAAAUCGAUCGUCAAAUUUGGGCAUGGGGGGCGAAAGACUAAUCGAACCAUCUAGUAGCUGGUUACCGC